CGAAGCGAAGCAGCGAUGUGAAGCAAAUCGCACCAAAGCCGGUCCCAGUUCGGAUAAGAGGCUGAAACUCGCCUCUUUGAAGUCGGAAUCGCUAGUAAUCGCAGAUCAGCAUGUUGCGGUGGAUACGUUUCCUGGUCUUGUACACACCGCCCGUCAAACCAUGAGAGUCGCCAACACCCGAAGUCCGCUUUGCGGCCUAAGGGUGGGGGGAGAUGAUUGGGGGUUAAGUCGUAACAAGGUAUC
rnacentral:rRNA from 1 species